GUAGAAGUUUUGAAACAUGAUGGCUCCAACUGUCAAGCUCGACUUUUAUUUUGAAAGAAAAUGUUCUCCGUUUUUGGGUUGAGUGACACUUUUUUUUGCUAGCAAGUUUUUGCAGGCAGGUCAGCGUCUUCCGUGCAAACUAUGAGGAACUACAGCAAUGUGCUAGUGACCAAAGAAAUCACAAGGAUGUUUUGAAGGAAGCCAUCUGCCGUAACGGGGUUGGGGUGAAACAAAACAUCCUUGUGAUUUCUUUGGUCACUAGCACAUUGCUGUAGUUCCUCAUAGUUUGCACGGAAGACGCUGACCUGCCUGCAAAAACUUGCUAGCAAAAAAAAGUGUCACUCAACCCAAAAACGGAGAACAUUUUCUUUCAAAAUAAAAGUCGAGCUUGACAGUUGGAGCCAUCAUGUUUCAAAACUUCUACUACUUUGAAGGGAAAUUACGGUCUAUGUUUCUGGUUUGUGCUGCCCUUUUUCACCGUUUCACUAGAGCGCAGAAAGUAGUUUAAGAGUGUUUGCAGACACGCCAGUGUCUUCCAUAAAAACUACAGGCAACCAUGGCGUUCAAUUUCACCUCAUCACUGUCUACAAUCUCCACCAAUCACUCAGGGAAUACACGCUUCUAGGUUUCUAGGUGGUAGCUGACAAAUUUCUAGGCCUCUGUGCCUGUGGGUGUAGCCAAUAAGUAAAAAAUAAGAUUUUGAAUUUAUAAUCUAAUCUGACACAUUAGAACUUGUCGUGUGGUCUGAGCCUGGCAUAACAGUCGGCAGAGAUCAAAGUAAUCGAUUACAAAUUAUACCCAGCCAGCUGAUAACUGUCACUGUUCAGUGUGUUAACAUUUACUACCAGUAAAGUAAACAUUUUCUGUAGUUUGCAUUUUUUUCAUACAUCAGACAGGGACGUGUACAUAUUUUAACCUUGCUGUUAUCAGCUCUCACUGGUUUCUGUGAUUUCAUAUAAAGCUGCACAGUGCGCUAACACUCUACUGUACAAUGAACACUUUAUGUCUUUAACUCUUCUUAUGUUUAUUAGUCACAUCCAGAGGAAAAAAAAUGUCCCUACAGUGUAGAAAUAAACCUCAUGUGGUAGAUUUGGUCAUUUCCCAUAUAAACAGCUACAUUAAGCAGCUCUCCAUCUGUUUUGCUCUCAAACUUUUCCUGUCUGCACACAUGGCUUCCAC
ensembl:lncRNA